rnacentral:rRNA from 1 species
AACGAACGCUGGCGGCAGGCUUAACACAUGCAAGUCGAACGCCCCGCAAGGGGAGUGGCAGACGGGGUGAGUAACGCGUGGGAAUCUACCUAGUUCUACGGAACAACAGUUGGAAACGACUGCUAAUACCGUAUACGCCUACGGGGGAAAGAUUUAUCGGAAUUAGAUGAGCCCGCGUAAGAUUAGCUAGUUGGUGAGGU